rnacentral:rRNA from 1 species
UAUCUCUGUAGAGUCUGCAUAUCAAUAAGCGGAGGAAAAGAAACUAACAAGGAUUCCCCUAGUAACGGCGAGUGAAGCGGGAAGAGCUCAAAUUUGAAAUCUUCAAGGUUUGACCUUGACGAAUUGUAGUUUAAAGAAGUGUUUUCGGUUAGAGGAGUAGUAAAAGUUCUUUGGAAUAGGACAUCAUAGAGGGUGAGAAUCCCGUAUUUGACUAUUCUUUCUAGCUUUGUGAUACACUUUCAAAGAGUCGGAUUGUUUGGGAAUGCAGUCCAAAAUGGGUGGUAAAUUUCAUCUAAAGCUAAAUAUUGGCGAGAGACCGAUAGCGAACAAGUACCGUGAGGGAAAGAUGAAAAGAACUUUGAAAAGAGAGUUAAACAGUACGUGAAAUUGUCAAAAGGGAAGCGUUUGACACCAGUGUUGUUUUUCCGAAAAUCAAUUAAAAAUUGAUUCAUGCCAGGUUGUAUUGACCUUAUCAGCUUGCAAUUUGGUUUUGGGUCUCUUUUUGAUGCACUUUUCGGUUAACAAGUCAACAUCAAUUUCCUUUGCUGUAAAAAGGUAAGAGGAAGGUGGCUUCAAUUUCGGUUGAAGUGUUUAUAGCCUUUUAUCUCUGCAGUCGGGGAGAUUGAGGUCUGCAGCGUAGAUCCUUCGGGGCUAGAUACAUUUAUGCUAAGUUAUAGCUUUUCAUAGACAACUUGUUGACUAUGUUUAGUCAUGUAGCUUACUCGUAAGUGCUAUUUUACCUACGCUUAGGAUGUUGAAGACUCUACAGAGAUA